rnacentral:rRNA from 1 species
GACGAACGCUGGCGGCGUGCCUAAUACAUGCAAGUAGAACGCUGAAGGAGGAGCUUGCUUCUCUGGAUGAGUUGCGAACGGGUGAGUAACGCGUAGGUAACCUGCCUUGUAGCGGGGGAUAACUAUUGGAAACGAUAGCUAAUACCGCAUAAUAGUAGAUGUUGCAUGACAUUUGCUUAAAAGUUGCAAUUGCAUCACUACCAGAUGGACCUGCGUUGUAUUAGCUAGUUGGUGGGGUAACGGCUCACCAAGGCGACGAUACAUAGGCGACCUGAGAGGGGGAUCCGCCAACCUGGGACUGAGACAAGGCCCAGAAUCCUACGGGAGGCAGCAGUAGGGAAUCUUCGGAAAUGGACGGAAGUCUGACCGAGCAAAGCCGCGUGAGUGAAGAAGGGUUUCGGAUCGUAAAGCUCGGUUGUAAGAGAAGAACGAGUGUGAGAGUGGAAAGUUCACACUGUGACGGUAUCUUAACAGAAAGGGACGGCUAACUACGUG